AAUAUGGCAAUUAUUGCUCUGAUUACUCAGUAAAUGGAAGUUAUUUGACAAAAUCCCAGAAGGGAAUGCUGCACUGAAGUUCAGUACAAUCACUUUUAUCAUAAAUACAUGUUGUUGGCUGCUUGAGUUUAAACGGGUCAUUGUGUCUUCAGGAGAUGAGAAGCUUGUGAUCUAGGUACUUUUUCCCAUUUAUUGUGAAGAUCUGCUUUAAACUGUUGAUUUGCAUUUCUAUUCAACAGCUCCUUUAUUUGUCAUUUUUAAAGGUAAGUCAGUAUUUUCAAGAGAAUAAUCUUGCUACAUUUACUAGAGGGUCUUCAUGCUUAGAAGGCUAAAGACCUCAGUACCUCACAUAUGAAGCAAGUGAAAAGGUGAACAUGAAUUUCCAUUAACCCAUUUGGCCUUUGAAUAUAUGAUUUUAUUCAUUUGAAAAUUUGAGAUCGAAGAGCUAUGAAAACUGACAUUUAAGAAAAAGACAUGGGUAUAAAUUUUAUAGCUUGGCUUCUAUUUAAUGCAUAUAUCUUUAUUUAAAAACCUCAGAGCCCUUAAUUAUUUACCCCU
rnacentral:lncRNA from 1 species